ACGUUACUGCAAAGCGUUACACCUUAAUGUGUGUUGAGUUGAUUCAGGGAUUACGUACUAAGAGCCAAUAAAGAGAAUGAGGAAUAAUUAGCUAUAUUAUUUAGCGGAGGUCUGUUGCUGGUGGUUUUUGGAGGAAGGUGUCCUCGCAGAUACAAAAGAGCGACGCACAGGAUUCAUGAAUCUUUCAUUAGAGGGGGAAUCAAGGGUCAGUACAAAUCAUCAAGCCUAAAGAAAAUAAAAGGAAAAAUAGAAGAAAUCAUCUGGGAAAACCAAGAAACGGGCAAUUUUCUGCAUGAAUGUGAAGCUGCAGAACCAUGAUGCCCAGCAACACAGAACAUCAGUUCUACAUCUGUGCUGUUUCGUUUUAGGAUUUUUUUUUUUUUUUUAUUAAUUUGUUUCCAGUUUUCAAUGAUAUGAUGAUAAUUUUGGCCUCUACGCAUUCAGUUUAAAUCUGCAAUUAGCAUCAUUUGAAAAAAACUAACAAAUUUUGGCAUUUUUGUGUGGAUGUGUAGUAUUUUCUCUAUAACUCAUAGCUGGAACAUUAGUAGUUUUUGUCGUGUAAAAAGAUGCACAAGUAUGAUUGCGUACAUUUAUUUUUCCCUUAAUAUGUAACAAUGAAAUACAAGCAGAGUCAUAUACAUUUGCUCUUUCAAUAUAAAAACUUACUGUGGGAUUGAAUAGAACUGCUAUUCAAGGAAGCAAGUAUAUAUUUUACAUGAAUUAUUUAUUCCCAAUUGUACAUGUACUUUUUGUUGACACAGAAAUACCUCUUACAUACGUCAGGUCCUCAGUUCAGUAAUUAGUGUACUUUUCAUUCUUAAGUCUUUUUCUCCCAUUGUUUCGUUAAAACGUGAGCACUUGGUAGCGUCAAGUGUUUGCGAAGUUAUACUAUUAGUGCGGUGCACUGAUGCUGUACAGGUAGUUCCACAAUAAUAAUAAGAUAUUAAUAGGGAUAUUUAAUUUUUAAUACCUACGUUUCUGGGGUGCCGAUUAAAACAACAGUUUUUUGCCU
rnacentral:lncRNA from 1 species